rnacentral:rRNA from 1 species
UCGAACGAUGAAGUGGAGCUUGCUCCACGGAUUAGUGGCGAACGGGUGAGGAACACGUGAGAAACCCGCCUCGGAUUUUGGGAUAACAAAUGGAAACGUUUGCUAAUACCAAAUAACGUCGGAGAGUCACAUGACUUUCUGACAAAAGGAAUUCCGAUUCGAGAGGGUCUCGCGGCCUAUCAGCUAGUUGGCGGGGUAAUGGCCCACCAAGGCAACGACCGGGUAGCUGGGUCUUGGAGAGGAUGGUCAGCCCACACUUGGAACUGAGACACGGCCCAGACUCCG